rnacentral:rRNA from 1 species
GCAACGAGCGCAACCCUUGUCAUUAGUUGCUACAUUCAGUUGGGCACGUCUAAUGAGACUGCCGGUGACAAGCCGGAGGAAGUGGGGAUGACGUCAAGUCCUCAUGGCCCUUAUAGGUGGGGCUACACACGUCAUACAAUGGCAGGUACAAAGGGUUGCCAACCCGCGAGGGGGAGCUAAUCCCAUAAAGCCAGUCCCAGUUCGGAUUGCAGGCUGCAACUCGCCUGCAUGAAGUCGGAGUUGCUAGUAAUCGCAGAUCAGAAUGCUGCGGUGAAUGCGUUCCCGGGUCUU